rnacentral:rRNA from 1 species
GAUGAAUGCUGGCGGCGUGCCUAAUACAUGCAAGUCGAGCGGUAAGGCCCUUCGGGGUACACGAGCGGCGGACGGCUGAGUAACGCGUGGGAACAUGCCCCAAAGUGAGGGAUAACGCACCGAAAGGUGUGCUAAUACCGCAUAUGGUCUUCGGAUUAAAGGAUUUAUCCGCUUUGGGAGUGGCCCGCGUACGAUUAGAUUGUUGGUGAGGUAACGGCUCACCAAGUCGACGAUCGUUAACUGGUCUGAGAGGAUGAUCAGUCAGACUGGAACUGAGACACGGUCCAGACUCCUACGGGAGGCAGCAGUAAGGAAUCUUCCACAAUGGGCGAAAGCCUGAUGGAGCAACGCCGCGUGCAGGAUGAAGGCCCUCGGGUCGUAAACUGCUUUUAUGAGUGAAGAAUAUGACGGUAACUCAUGAAUAAGCACCGGCUAACUACGUCCAGCAGCCGCGGUAACUCGUCUCUA